rnacentral:rRNA from 1 species
AUUGAACGCUGGCGGCAGGCCUAACACAUGCAAGUCGAACGGGUGGCGGACGGGCGAGUAAUGUCUGGGCAACUGCCUGAUGGAGGGGGAUAACUACUGGAAACGGUAGCUAAUACCGCAUACCAUCAUAUGUGCCCAGAUGGGAUUAGCUAGUUGGUGGGGUAACGGCUCACCAAGGCGACGAUCCCUAGCUGGUCUGAGAGGAUGACCAGCCACACUGGAACUGAGACACGGCCCAGACUCCUACGGGAGGCAGCAGUGGGGAAUAUUCGACAAUGGGCGAAAGCCUGAUGCAGCCAUGCCGCGUGUAUGAAGAAGGCCUUCGGGUUGUAAAGUUCUUUCAGCGGGGAGGCGUUACCCGCAGAAGAAGCACCGGCUAACUCCGUGCCAGCCGCCGCGGUAAUAC